rnacentral:rRNA from 1 species
GUAGGGAAUAUUGCACAAUGGGGGAAACCCUGAUGCAGCGACGCCGCGUGAAGGAAGAAGUAUUUCGGUAUGUAAACUUCUAUCAGCAAGGAAGAAAAUGACGGUACUUGACUAAGAAGCCCCGGCUAAAUACGUGCCAGCAGCCGCGGUAAUACGUAUGGGGCAAGCGUUAUCCGGAUUUACUGGGUGUAAAGGGAGCGUAGGCGGCAUGGCAAGUCAGAAGUGAAAGCCUGGGGCUCAACCCCGGAAUUGCUUUUGAAACUGUCAGGCUAGAGUGUCGGAGGGGUAAGCGGAAUUCCUAGUGUAGCGGUGAAAUGCGUAGAUAUUAGGAGGAACACCGGUGGCGAAGGCGGCUUACUGGACGAUUACUGACGCUGAGGCUCGAAAGCGUGGGGAGCAAACAGGA